GGCGGACGGGUGAGUAACGCGUGAGAAACCUGCCUUUCACAAAAGGAUAGCCUCUGGAAACGGGGAUUAAUACUUUAUGAUACAUUCUCUUCACAUGUAGAGAAUGUCAAAGCGUAAAGCGGUGAAAGAUGGUCUCGCGUCCCAUUAGCUAGUUGGUGAGAUAAAAGCUCACCAAGGCCACGAUGGGUAGCCGGCCUGAGAGGGUGAACGGCCACACUGGAACUGAGACACGGUCCAGACUCCUACGGGAGGCAGCAGUGGGGAAUAUUGCACAAUGGAGGAAACUCUGAUGCAGCGACGCCGCGUGAACGAUGAAGGCUUUCGGGUCGUAAAGUUCUGUCCUUGGGGAAGAUAAUGACGGUACCCAAGGAGGAAGCCCCGGGCUAACUACGUGCCAGCAGCCGCGGUAAUACGUAGGGGGCGAGCGUUGUCCGGAUUUAUUGGGCGUAAAGGGUUCGCAGGUGGCCUUUUAAGUCAGAUGUGAAAGAUCACAGCUCAACUGUGGUAAGCAUUUGAAACUGAAAGGCUUGAGUUAAGGAGAGGAAAGUGGAAUUCCUAGUGUAGCGGUGAAAUGCGUAGAUAUUAGGAGGAAUACCAGUGGCGAAGGCGACUUUCUGGACUUAUACUGACACUGAGGAACGAAAGCGUGGGGAGCAAACAGGAUUAGAUACCCUGGUAGUCCACGCCGUAAACGAUGAGUGCUAGGUGUCGGGGGGUCAAACCUCGGUGCCGGAGCUAACGCAUUAAGCACUCCGCCUGGGGAGUACGUACGCAAGUAUGAAACUCAAAGGAAUUGACGGGGACCCGCACAAGCAGCGGAGCAUGGUGGGUUUAAUUCGAAGCAACGCGAAGAACCUUACCAGGACUUGACAUGGUAUUGACCGCUUUAGAGAUAGAGCUUUCCUUUCGGGGACAAUACACACAGGUGGUGCAUGGUUGUCGUCAGCUCGUGUCGUGAGAUGUUGGGUUAAGUCCCGCAACGAGCGCAACCCUUGAUCUUAGUUGCCAGCAUUUAGUUGGGCACUCUAAGGUGACUGCCGGUGACAAACCGGAGGAAGGUGGGGAUGACGUCAAAUCAUCAUGCCCCUUAUGACCUGGGCUACACACGUGCUACAAUGGACAGAACAAAGGGCUGCAAGACCGCAAGGUUUAGCCAAUCCCAUAAAUCUGUUCUCAGUUCGGAUCGCAGUCUGCAACUCGACUGCGUGAAGCUGGAAUCGCUAGUAAUCGC
rnacentral:rRNA from 1 species